rnacentral:lncRNA from 1 species
AUCUUGCGACGCUUCGUGCAACUGCAAUUAUAGACACGUUGGUUUAUUUUCGCCUUGUGUCCUUGAGGAAAAAAAUGUAAAGGCCAGCUC